UGAAGCCAUAGAAGAAGCGUGUCUCUCUGUUCCUAGUGUUGUGGAGCACAUCCUCAACACCCCCAAAUUGCAAGAACACAACAAGAACCCUCUCAGAAGACAACCUUUGCGCACGUGUCGUCUAGUUCGGCAGUCAAGAUAUUCGACCAUUUCCACUCCAAUGAUGUCCAAGAACACACGGAGGAUUUCCCUGAUCCCAUUCCAUUUGUGCUUUCAGAGCCAUUUCAAGUUCAAGAUUCGGAUGUUGCAUCAGAUUGGGAGCGGAAAGUUAGCAACUUGAUGCAAAAGCAUUUUGGUAUGUAAUGAUUCCUUGGAUUGCUCAUAUGAAGAUGAUAUGUAUUCUGGCUCCAAACAUAGAGGACUAAGAGAGAGGCCAAACCUUAAGGUGUUAGUUGGAAAAAUAAGGCAGCAGGUUUUAAAUUAAUUUAUGAGCACACUCUUUUUCCAGCUUCCCAAAUUGAAUCCAAGAAGGGACCAUAAAGGGUUUCUUGAUAAUACUCUAUAGAUAUGGAAUGAAUACUUCAUGCUGUCAAGCAAAGACACUUCUGUCUUGUAUGUGAAGUUCUGUCUCAAUGCCUUGCUGUUUGAUUAUGGUUCAGCAUCCAUCUUUGGUGGGCCCAGACCUACUUUACCCUUGAUGUUGUGGUCCUGCAAUGUUAGAGAGCUUCCAUUGAGAUCUUGGAAGAGAACUGAGUGGGAAGAUAAAAACCACUGCAUCAUUGCAGAUACACAUGAUAUCUACAAGAAACGGUGGACAUGAAUUUUACCGUACCUCGCUGGUGACCUUCUUUGAAAGGGUUUUUCUUUUUGUGCGGUGCAAAGACCGGUGGAUAUGGAUAUUACAGUUUCUCAAUCUGGUGACGUUGUGUAGAUGGAAGGGUUUUUCUCUUUGUUCCUCACUCCGGUGACCAUGUGCCGAUGGAAGGUAAAAAUUAAAAUCAUGUAAUGGUGAUGUUAUUGCUUCCAAUCCACCUUGAAGCAACUCUUUGAGGAAUUUGAAAGUGGUGAUGAUUCUUCAUUGCUAGGAUCUGUAACAGUGCACAUAAUGGAAGCUUGAAAACAAAUUUAGAAGGAAGAUCAAAGCGGUAUAAAGACCUUGCAUUGACAUAUCUUUUUCUCAUGAACAAUGUUCAUUAUAUUGUCAGAUUAGUUUGGAGGUCUGAAGACAAUGAUUUGCUAGGUAUGACUGGGUACAAUGACAUCGGAGGAUUGUUCAGCAGCAUUCAAAUCAAUACAAAAGAAAUACUUGGGCAAAAAUUCUUCAGUUGCUUAUCUAUUCAGGGCCUUAGGUCAUCAGGUGGUGGGAGUGGUACUGGUGGGAGUGGUACUGGAACUGGAAGCAGUAGUGGUGCUUCAUUAAGGACAGAUUGGAACUCUUCUUAAAGGCAAAGCUUGCUCUGGAAUAAAAGAAGCUGCAACUAGUUUGACAAAACAUCUUGCACAAAGAACCCAGGAGACCUUUGAAGAAUUUGAAGUGGCAAUCCAGAAAGAUGCUAGAAAGACUGCAGUUAUAGAUGGAACUGUCCAUCCUUUGACACGCUCUGUGAUUAACUAUCUAUCAAUCCACCUUGAAGCAACUUUUUCUGGAUUUUGAAAGUGGUGAUGAUUCUUCACAGCUAGCAUAUGUAACUGCGAAUAAUGCAAGCUUUGCAAACCAAUUUAGAUGGAAAAUCAGAGCACAGUAUAAAGACCCUGCAUUAACACAUUGUUUUCUCAUGAACAAUAUUCAUUAUAUUGUAAGAUGGGUUUGGAGGUCUGAGGCCAAGGAUUUGCUAGGGGAUGACUGAAGCCAAGGUCUGAAGCCAACAACAUAGGAGGAUUGUUCAGCAGCAUGCAAAUCAAUAAAAAAGUAAUGCUUGGGCAAAGGUCUUGUUCUAGUGACCUUGCUGACCAUUACAUGUCUUGCAGCUUUCUUAGAUGUCACUUGGAUAAUGGUAAAAUAUGUUUAGCCCCUCUAAAAUUAUCAAAAUAUAUUUUGGUUAUGAAUUUCUUUAAAUCACAAUUUUUUUACAUGUUUUGGUGGUUGAAAGUCUUUUUUCCUCUUAACCCUCUUCUGUUCUUGGUCUGAGGCCAAGGAUUUGCUAGGGGAUAACUGAAGCCAAGGUCUGAAGCCAACGACAUAGGAGGGUUGUUCAGCAGCUUGCAAAUCAAUGAAAAAGAAAUGCUUGGGCAAAGUGCUUAUCUAUUCAGGGCCUUUGCCCAUCAAGUGGCAGGAGUGAUACUGAUUGCGGCGAUGGUGGAACUGGAAGCAGUAGUGGUGCUUCAUUUAGGACUGGUUUAAGAAAUUGAAUGUUAUGUUUGAGGAAAUCCAUUAGAGAUAAUCUCAGUGGACAGUUCCUGACAUCGAUCUGCAAGAGUCUCUCAUGCCUGUGGUUGCUGAAGUCUUGUUGGUAGCCUAUAGAUCGUUUGUCAAUCAUUUUGGUACCUUGCAACAAGUGCAUAUUUGGGAACCUACUGUGUCGCCAGCCUCUAGUGGAGACUGGUAAGAAUCCUCAGAAAUACAUCAAAUACAUACCAGAAGAUCUUUAGAUCAAAUGUUGGGUGAAUUUUUUGAAGGAAAACAGAUGAGUGAAACAAAGCGGUAAAAUAAUUGUUGAUAACUUAAGAUAGGUCUAUUUUAAAUUUAGCAUGAUGGUAUUUGGCGGUUAUUGGUUAAUGCCUUUAUUUUGGAUUGGUUUCUUUUCUCACUCUCACUUGUUCUAAUUCACCAGGUUGUAUUUGGUAGCUGAGAAGGAGUUAUAGUUUGUUUUUUGUGUGAUAAGAUGGUGAAUGGUUUUGUAUAGUUCGCUUGAUUUGCUGCCUGAGUUGUUAGGGUGUGUUUGGAAACUCGUUUACAGAGGUUUUGCAUUUUUUAAUGUAUAAAGGUUAAAACUAUGCUAGUGUUGGAUUUACGUUGAAUGUGAAUUAAAUUAAAUGGAAUUGAUAUAGUCUACAAGGAAAAUUUAUUUCUGCCACAGGUACAAUUUUGUAAUUAUAUGACUGAAAUGUAUUCUGGCAUCAAAUUUCAUUUAGGAUUUUUUUAAUUUACAUUUCUGGAAGCCGCAGCCAUAUAAGAGUGUAAACUUGUCAAAUUGUCAAUACUUGUGCCAAAAUGAUUCGUUGACGAAGCUAGCCAAAGUUUUGCUCGGUCUUAAUGUUUAUCAAUUUAUAUUUAUAUCUAUAAUACUAUUAAUAAAAGGAAUUUCUUAAUUGAUAUUCUUUUUUAUCUUUUUCAUUUUAUCCUUAAUAAUUAUACAUAAUUUCUAAUAACUAUACAAAUUAUGUGAAUGAAUUUUUUUAAUUUUCUUUUAUAAUGGCAGCAUGUAGUGUCUUAUUUAUUUAUUUUUACUUUUUCAAUAGGCACUAUUAAAGAGA